UUACGGCCAUAUGACGUCGAAACACCGGUUCUCGUACGAGCACCGACGUUAAGCAACGUCAAGCCUGGUUAGUACCGAGAUGAGUGACCACUUGGGAAUAUCAGGUGC